rnacentral:misc_RNA from 1 species
GGAAUUUGAAAAGCUUAGGUUCAUGAUUAAUUUUUAAAAAAAAUACAAGGGUCCAAAUGCAUAUUUUAGCCAAUGUUAUGGAGUUUUAGGCAUGCGUGUCCUUAGGCUUGUUUUGUCUUCUAACUGUUCUGCUUGUAUCCUAUAAUUAGGAAUGUAUUUCCAAUUCUAUUGUUCUUAUUUAUGUAGACCAUGCCUAAAUUAAAUGCUGAUUCCAUUUAAAAUUUCUAAAACACAGGGGACAGAGGAAAAGGGGGCAGGGAGCCUAUUCUUGGAAAUUUGAGAUUUUCUGGAAAAUGGCAUAAAAUUAUUGAUUUAACUACUACAAAAUGUAAGAUAUUGGGGCUUGGUUUCACUCAACUGAAAACUUAGAAAAGGGACUUGUAUAUCCUGUCUUUAGGUUUUUGAAAUGCUAGUCUUGUUUUCUGAUUGAUGCCUUAAUCUGCAACAAGAUGGACAUCAAC